CACACCGCGUGUUGAAGCCUCUUUGGCCGUUGGCCCCUGGUUUGUGAGCUGCUAAGAUGCGGGCGGCACGAGGCUGGUGCGAUGCACGCCGCCGGCCGUCUGCAGCACAGAAGCCUGGUGAGGGCUAGCACGCGGGCCACAGCCAUGUGAAGCUGACCCCGUGUUGAGCGGAAACACCCGAGGACCUCCACUGUCACGGAUGGUAACAUCGGAACUCAUUGCUGUUUGGUGAUGGAAGAGACGUUCAGGUAUUGUUAAAGUAGUAGUGGCUAAGAUCUUCCGGGCACCUAACAUGGAAUCUUCGCAUUUAAAUCUUGGUAAUGGGCAUUGUGAAUGUUAAUACGGCGGGCCUUUAUUUCAUAUGAAGUUUUUAAUAAGCUAAAUAAAGUUUGGUUGAUGAGUAAUAAGAUUGUGUUGUUUAUUUUUGGAGACUGAGUAGAGUUCUUACACAGACAUUUUGCAGAGAAAAUGUCUGGGAUAACCAGGAUACUUGAGGGGAGGGUGGUCUCAUUGCUGUAUGUUAUGCAAAGGUGCACUGAACUUGUGUGUCGAUUUUGUUAAAGCUUUGGGCUUGUGCAAACUAAAAGUUAACCGCUUGUCACAUUUGUCAUUUGCUGGCCUUAGCAUUUUCAGAGUAAUUUUGUUACGCAGGCAACCAACGGACAGUUGCCUUUAUAGAGAGAUGUGUGUGUUGUGCGCUGCUCACCAAGCCUUUCUGUCAGCAUGUACCAUGUGAGGAUGGGGUUUUACAAAAACAGUGUAUUUGAGCUUCACGUCCCCAAAGUGAAUAAUACGGCACCUUUUAGGGGGACAUGCUUUUGACUACUGGUACCUAGUUAAAUAUACGGUCAUACUAAAGUGGAUGGCAACCUUAAGGAAUUUGCUCCAGCAAUAGUCUUGUUUGAGAUUGCAGUAUACCUUACCUAAGGGAACUUGGGAACUCUAAUAAGAAAUACAGAUUCCAAAUUUGAAAGGGACCACUGGCUUCCCAAUUUGUAAGUUGUAUGGCCACUUCGUGUGGUCUAUUUUAUGUUGUGUGCAUAUUUUUUCCCAUCAGAUUGUGUCCGGUUAGUCCUGAGAAACCUGUAGGCUUAUUGGCAACUGCCAGUAGGUGGCACUCUUGUACCAUGUCCAAAAGGCAGUGUAGUGGAAACUCUACUUUAGCUGCCUCCAGUGUUGGGGGGAGGCUUGGGUAGUAGUAAAUCAGUAAAAAAAA